UACGAAGGGGGCUAGCGUUGCUCGGAAUCACUGGGCGUAAAGCGCACGUAGGCGGAUCUUUAAGUCAGGGGUGAAAUCCCAAGGCUCAACCUUGGAACUGCCUUUGAUACUGGGGAUCUCGAGUCCGGAAGAGGUGAGUGGAACUGCGAGUGUAGAGGUGAAAUUCGUAGAUAUUCGCAAGAACACCAGUGGCGAAGGCGGCUCACUGGUCCGGUACUGACGCUGAGGUGCGAAAGCGAUGGGGAGCA
rnacentral:rRNA from 1 species